GGCUGUGCAGGAGUGGGGUUUACAGCAGGAGAAGAUGACAAGUCCUCCUGGCAGAGCACCAUCCGUGUUUUUCUUAGGACAAAGAAGGCACUUCUGCCUCCGUUUCCAGCUCAACACAAGGCCCCAGGAAAAGGCUCCCAACACAAUACCUUCCCAGGAAAGCCAACCCCCCAGAGGUUUUCAGCUGGAUUCACAGUUUGAGAAUCAUAACUAACUAAGGAACGGCUUGGAGGUGAGCAACACGGAUAAUUACAGGGUUGGAAGGAGGGUGAGUGCAAGGAGGCCGGCAUCCCUCAGUCAGCCAUCCAAGGGACUUCCAGGGAAUGUGAGUUAUUUCCCAGAGAAGCAAAGGACACUAUCUCCAUUUCUACAGAACAAAAGACUAUGUAGAAAUUAACUCCUAUUGCAGCACAGAGGAUUUACGUGAAGCUGGAGGAGAAAGUUCCAGAACAUAUUACAUGAGAUUGGAGGAGGCUCUUAACUGCACUGUCACAGGGUCUGGGGUAUGGAGAUCUAUCGAGAGGAGCCCCAGCUCACCUCCAAUGAACUACAUGACCUCCCCAGGCCACUUCCCCUCCCCAGCUGUGGGCUUCCUUCUCUAUAAGACAGGAAGAACAUUCCCCACCCCGUGUCACUCGCAGGGUUGCCAAGAACUUCAGACGUGUAUGGAAGACAGUGGGAUGUUAUACAGAAGAACAAACCAACUGCAGCUACAUGUCACCACGUAGCUAAAUCUGAAACACAGGUGUGAGUAAAAGAAGCCAGAUGUGAAAGACCAAACAUGAUAGGAUUCCACUCCUCCAGCAUUCAAAGGCCCACUUCCUGCGCACCUCUCAAUUUUAAAAACAUAGCUGCCAGCUCACAGGCACUUGUGACGUGCUGGUGCCCAGGCUCAGAGGGAAUGCAGAUUUUUCCACUCCUUGGCAGCAUUUUUCUUUAGGGAGAAUGACACUUGAACUUGGAAGAAAAAUCCAAAGUCCUGAUGAAACUCUCGGAAAGACCCCCAGAAUAGCGAUCGGCCCAAGGCACAACCCAAAAACAAUGAGCGGAUAAGAGCUGAGCGAAGACACCAGGCAACUGUGAAAGCCAAGGAAGAGGUCCUCUAAGACUGUUCCUUCCUGGCUCCAGGAAGCAGCUCUGCACCCACCAGUGCCCCACGGUAGCUGUAGUCACACCCUCGGCGGCCGAGGCAUUCAGGUCACACCCACUUACCCAGCCAUGACCUGAAUGGCUGAUCCCAAAGGAGCCCACAUCCAGACACCUGUCUUUCCGAGGAUGCCAGGGAUGUAGCUAAAAGGGUGGCACAGGCUUCACUGAGUUUCCUGCUGAAUUUGGGGACACCUGUUAAGUCCAAAGGAUCCCUCUUUUGCCUCUGAUGCCAGCUCACAGAAGUGGAAGAAAUGGAUCCAAGGAAAUGUAAAGAUGAUGGAGAAAAACUCUCCAUCAUAUCUCCCACCGCCAAGUGUUGCUCACUACUGCAGCAGGGCCUCCUGGCCUCCACCUGCCCACAGCUGUUUCCAGCAGCCUCCAUCAUGUUGUUCCCACCACCUGAGACCCUGCACCCCAAAUCCACCCACCACUCGAAUGUCUACUCAUGCCUCAAGGCCAAAUCAAGUCUCACUUCCAACAAAGCUUCUCCCUCUUCCCGAGCCAGGGAUCACCUUUCCUGUCCCUCUUGCUUUGCUACAACCCUCCCCAUCUAUCCCAGGUGCACUUGCUAAAUAACACACUCCCGUCUUAGACUUGAACAGCAUCGGGCUUGCUACCAGGAAGGGGGAUGAUAGCCCCCUCCCUCCUUACAGGAGCCCAAUCUAGAAAACAGGACUGACACCAGAGCACAGUCUUAUGCCCAAGAAGGACAUCUAAGGGACAUAUGUGAACAGAAGGCUACAGAAGCACAGAAGGGAACAAGAGGACCCAGAAGGACAAGCAGGUGUCCUGGAGCAGAGGGUGGGACAGCACUGCAAGCAGAGAGGGAUCCUUGGGAAUGGCUGGAUCACAGGGUGCCUGGGACAGGAAAGGAGUCUAGGAAGAAGCUGAAGCCAGUCUAUAGAAGGGAGGCAGGUCAGAUGCAGAUUUUAGAGCCAUCACCACCUUGGCAAGAUUAGGAGGCAUUUCGGAGUUAUUACUAAGGUCCAGGAGAGAGAAGGAAUGAGACUGAACCAGCAGAGUGGCAGCAGAGGUGACAGGAAGGGAUGGAGGCAUGGAAGGGGCAGGAGACAUUCUUCCAGAAGCUGUUCAGCACCUGGGUUGGGAGGGGGAGGGCUCUCAUAAUUCAAACUCCUCUGCCAAGCAGUUGUGCUCCCUGUGAGCAGAGACUAGCUUUUCUAUUUUACUUGAACACAGAGUAGCCUCUCAGUAAUUAAUUAUUGAAAUAAGUUUUCAAUUCUAGAAACCUCUCUAAAAGAUGUCCAUGACCUCUCUGACCCUGAUGGUGGCUCAACAAAGAACACAGCUGUACAAACUGAAAACAAGAGAAGCACACCUAGGCUAUCCCAGUCAGACCAGAGCUCAUCCUGUGCUUCAAGCAAAAUGCCUCCAGGAAGUCAAUCAACAAACCACUGCUGGGCCACAGGGAGGAUUGGGAAUGGGAGGCAUGUGGCACAAGGACCAAGGAAGCAGGGAAGCCACUCUAGUUCGGAGCUCCACUCAUCACUGUCCGAGUGGCUGUGCGACCACGGCCAAGUCACCAACCCUCUCUGGAGAAAAGAAUUCAGGGACUGCAGACAUGCCCACGCGCUGCAGCCACCCUUGAUGCCUGCAGUGGGAGCAGAGCCACAAGCCCCCACCCAGCCCAGAACACCAGCUCUCAAAGGCAAAGACACUGGGGCGCCUGGGUGGCUCCGUUGGUUAAGCAUGUGCCUUCAACUCAGGUCAUGACCCUGGAGUCCCAGAAUUGAGCCCCACGUCCAGCUCCUCACUCAGCAGGGAGACUGCUUCUCCAUCUCCCUCCACGACUCUCCCCAUCUCGUGCUCAUGUGCUCUCUCUCUCUCUCUCUCUCUCAAAUAAAUUAAAAAAAAAAAAUCUUCAAAAAACAAAUGCAAAGACAUGAAGCACUUCCGGCCACAGGAGGGAAAUGCUUGUUUACAGCUCUCAGCUGGUCCAGCCCCAGGCCCUCAGGAGAGGAAAGGUGCCCAGAAAUCCUUGAUCACAACAAUGACAAAAACAGCUGCGGGUUCAACUUGCGGAGCUCAGAAGAGUCCUGAGCAGGGGCCUGGAGCAGGGGCCCCCUACGCCGAGCUCUGGCACAAAACAGCUGCAGGCACUCCCACACUGCCACCACCACCACCACCACCACAACCACCAAAACCCCACCUUACUCUCUCCACCCCCCAGAGCCUAUUUUUUUUAACGAAAAAAAAAAAAACACCAAACUUUCAAAAUGACAGUUUUUGAAAAGAAAAUAUGCUCCCUUACCAUAUUUUCUCAUGGAGUUAAAAAUACAAGUAAGUGUUGGAGGAAAAAAGUUUUGUUUAAGGUCAAAGGGAAAAAAAAAAAGAAGUCAUGUUUUUUGAAAU